GACGAACGCUGGCGGCGUGCUUAACACAUGCAAGUCGAACGGAAAGGCCCUGCUUUUGUGGGGUGCUCGAGUGGCGAACGGGUGAGUAACACGUGAGUAACCUGCCCCUGACUUUGGGAUAACUUCAGGAAACUGGGGCUAAUACCGGAUAGGAGCUCCUGCUGCAUGUUGGGGGUUGGAAAGUUUCGGCGGUUGGGGCUGGACUCGCGGCUUAUCGGCUUGUUGGUGGGGUAGUGGCUUACCAAGGGUUUGACGGGUAGCCGGCCUGAGAGGGUGACCGGCCUCAUUGGGACUGAGAUACGCCCCAGACUCCUACGGGAGGCAGCAGGGGGGAAUAUUGCGCAAUGAGCGGAAGCCUGAUGCAGCAACGCCGCGUGCGGGAUGACGGCCUUCGGGGUAUAAACCGCUUUCGCCGGUGACGAAGCGUGAGUGACGGUAAUGGAUAAAGAAGCACCGGCUAACUACGUG
rnacentral:rRNA from 1 species